ensembl:misc_RNA 7SK 7SK RNA
GGAAGUGAGGGAGAUCUGGCUGCGACAUUUGUCACCCCAUUGAUCACCAGGGUUGAUUUGGCUGAUCUGGUUGGCUAGGUCGGUGUCCCCUUCUUCCCUCACCACUCCAUGUGCAUCCCUCCAGAAGCUGUGUGCUCGGUCAAAGAGGACGACCUUCCCCGAUAAAGGAGGACCGUUCUUUGGUCAAGGGUAUACGAGUAGCUGCGCUCCUCUGCUAGAACCUCCAAACAAGCUCUGAUUGAGGUUACUAGAGAUUUUACUUUUUUACUUCUAGUUAGUCUGGCCAAAGGCUUAUCUA